rnacentral:rRNA from 1 species
GUGUCAGCCGCCGCGGUAAUACGUAGGGUGCGAGCGUUAAUCGGAAUUACUGGGCGUAAAGCGUGCGCAGGCGGUUGUGUAAGACAGGUGUGAAAUCCCCGGGCUUAACCUGGGAACUGCGCUUGUGACUGCACGGCUAGAGUACGGCAGAGGGGGGUGGAAUUCCACGUGUAGCAGUGAAAUGCGUAGAUAUGUGGAGGAACACCGAUGGCGAAGGCAGCCCCCUGGGCCGAUACUGACGCUCAUGCACGAAAGCGUGGGGAGCAAACAGGAUUAGAUACCCUGGUAGUCCACGCCCUAAACGAUGUCAACUAGUCGUUCGGAAAGGUAACUUUCUGAGUGACGCAGCUAACGCGUGAAGUUGACCGCCUGGGGAGUACGGCCGCAAGGUUAAAACUCAAAGGAAUUGACGG